AACAAGUGUAACGAGAGUCAAAAAGACGUCUCGAAAUACAAGAAAAAGUUCAAUGCUAUGAAAUCCUAUAUGAAGAAAUUGAACAAGACUUUGAAGACUUCUGGACUAGACAUGACGCAGAUGGCUUCUACUUCAAAGUCAACAAUACCGUCUGCAUUCGGAUCAGAUAAUUCUGAUUCUGAUUCUGAUUCAGAAGACUCGCUUUCAGACGAGUGUUGAUUAAACGAUUUUUUUUUUAUUCAAACUUCGAAUGUUUAACGAUUCUGU
rnacentral:lncRNA from 1 species